rnacentral:rRNA from 1 species
CUAAGAAUCUUCCGCAAUGGGCGCAAGCCUGACGGAGCGAUGCCGCGUGGAGGAGGAAGGCCGAGAGGUUGUAAACUCCUUUUCUGCGAGAGGAAUAACCGCCUGAGGGAAUGCGGGCGGGAUGACGGUAGCGCAGGAAUAAGCCCCGGCCAAUUACGUGCCAGCAGCCGCGGUAAUACGUAUGGGGCGAGCGUUGUUCGGAAUCAUUGGGCGUAAAGGGCGCGCAGGCGGCUGCGCAAGCCUGGUGUGAAAGACCACAGCUUAACUGUGGGAGCGCGCUGGGAACUGCGUAGCUAGAGUUCCGGAGGGGAAGCUGGAAUUCCAGGUGUAGGGGUGAAAUCUGUAGAUAUCUGGAAGAACAUCGGCGGCGAAGGCGAGCUUCUGGCCGUGAACUGACGCUGAGGCGCGAAAGCGUGGGGAGCGAACAGGAUUAGAUACCCCCGUAGUCC